rnacentral:rRNA from 1 species
AGAACGAACGCUGGCGGCAUGCCUAAUACAUGCAAGUCGAACGAACUCUUCGGAGUUAGUGGCGCACGGGUGCGUAACGCGUGGGAAUCUGCCCUUGGGUUCGGAAUAACAGUUGGAAACGACUGCUAAUACCGGAUGAUGACGAAAGUCCAAAGAUUUAUCGCCCAGGGAUGAGCCCGCGUAGGAUUAGCUAGUUGGUGAGGUAAAGGCUUACCAAGGCGACGAUCCUUAGCUGGUCUGAGAGGAUGAUCAGCCACACUGGGACUGAGACACGGCCCAGACUCCUACGGGAGGCAGCAGUAGGGAAUAUGGACAAUGGGCGAAAGCCUGAUCCAGCAAUGCCGCGUGAGUGAUGAAGGCCUUAGGUUGUAAAGCUCUUUACCGAGAUGAUAAUGACAGUAUCGGGAAGAAUAAGCCCCGGAUAACCGUCCGUAGCCGAGCCAGGCCGU